rnacentral:lncRNA from 1 species
GUGUGUGAGAGAGCAGAUCCUGCUGCAAAUCCUGGUGACACUCAUGUCUGCAUUUCUAAGGAAAAGCUGCCUGACAAUAAGUAAUUCCAUGGACUGACAUCAAAAUACCUUCCAUCAAAACCAUGCCAUUUUCUAGGAGAAUCCACCCUUGCUACUGUGCAAACUAAGCUGUUACCCGACUUUUGCAUCACUGUUGAAGACACCUCAGCCCUUACCUGGAAAAAUUGGAUGAAGAGGCAAGGAGUCCCAGCAAAUGAAGAACAAAAGAGGGUCAAUGGAAGAGAGAGCCAGGCCAGCAGCUCCUGCUCAACAGGGCAAAAUCCUCAGUGUGGAGCUGCAGGAGUAAGUGAGCAG